UGACAGUUUGUGAAAUAUAAAUAAACAAAAUUAAAAUUUGGUGGAGCUUAAGGACAUUGUGGGGUAGCUUUAGCACCCCUAAAAUAGGCCUAACAACGUCCCUGCUACUGAUAAUCAUAAA